GUGCUUGAGCAAAAAAUCCCUUUCUUUUUUUUUUCUUUUUUCUCUUGAAGCUUUUUUUAUUUUGAUAAAUAUUCAAUAAUACUUUAAUGUGUUAUUUAACCUUUCCGUAUGGUGUUAUAAUAACAGUGAUACAUAUAGUUUAUAAGUUUUGAUCCUCAUAAAAAAGGGAAACUUACUAAAAAAGGGUAUAGAAUUCUACUAAAAGAGUCAUAAAAAGUUAUCAAAGCACCAGGAUUAUAAUCUAAUACGCCAGACGCGCGUUUCGUCUACAUAAGUCACAUCAGUGACGCUCAGAUCCAAAUAGUUAUAAUGCCAAACAAGUACAAAGUUGAGGAGCAUGGACAACCCAAAAUUCCCAACAGUUGUGCCAAAUACGGCUCAUGUAAUCUAUUCCUGGGAUAAGAAAAUCCUAAGUUUUUUCGAAAAAUUCAAAGUUUUGUAAACAAUUAUUUUAUAAAAUGACCAUAUAUUAAUUGAUAUUCAUGUCAACACCGAAGUGCUGACUACAUAUUUGGUGAUACCCUCGGGUACGAAACGUUCACCAGCAGUGGCAUCGACCCAGUGAUGUAAAAAAGGUACAUAAUUGACAGUGUGAAAAUUUAUUAUUUUAAUUUACCAAUAUGAAGGUUACUCAUGUGAUCGUCAAUAUAGCAUUAUACUUUAUUUUGGGGUAUGCAAUGUACAUUCUUUAAAAAAAAAAAACAAUAAAAAAACAAUAACAAUAAUAAUUCAUCUUCUGGCAUGUGAUUUCUGUUUAUAACAAAUAUAAUGAGGACAUCUAUUUGUGCGCUAAAUAAAACUGAAAUAUACAAUUAUAUCAAUUCAAUGAAAAAUCAUAUGAACUUAGUGACCUACCGGCAUACCCGUAUUAAACUUUGAAUACAAAUGAAACAUGAUUUUGGACCAACCGUCAAACCAGUAGAAACGAAUCAUGUUUGUGGAGCAACUGUCAACCUGUAAAAGACUCAUGCUCAACCGCCAACUCAAUACUAAUGACACAUGUUUCUGGACCAGCCGUCAACAUGCAAAGAUUAUUGGUCAACCGCCAACUCAAUACUAACGGCAAAUGUUUCUGGACAAACUAUCAAUAUUAAAAAGGUUCUUGAGCAACCGCCAGAUUUGUUCUGGAUCAACAGUUAAUAUACACAUUCUACACCGUCAAAUCAAAUGACAUAUGCUUUUGGAUAUUUCACGUAGAUUUUUGCGAAUGUAUGCUAUCAGAUGGAUUUAUCCCAUAUUCCAUAAAAAGGGCCAGUGUACCUCUAAUACGGCCAUUGUUAUCCACCAUCAACAUAAAACGUCAACAUCAAAUUCUACAACCGAAGACAAACACAAUUAAACAUAAUACAGAGGAAAUGUUCAACUAGACUCAAAGACAAACAAAAUUAUUAAACAAUGCAGAGACAACGUCAACUAGAC
rnacentral:lncRNA from 1 species